GUGCUACAAUGGCAUAUACAAUGAGACGCAAUACCGCGAGGUGGAGCAAAUCUAUAAAAUAUGUCCCAGUUCGGAUUGUUCUCUGCAACUCGAGAGCAUGAAGCCGGAAUCGCUAGUAAUCGUAGAUCAGCCAUGCUACGGUGAAUACGUUCCCGGGUCUUGUACUCACCGCCCGUCACACCAUGGGAGUUGAUUUCACUCGAAGCCGGAAUACUAAACUAGUUACCGUCCACAGUGGAAUCAGCGACUGGGGUGAAGUCGUAACAAGGUAACCGUAGGAGAACCUGCGGUUGGAUCACCUCCUUU
rnacentral:rRNA from 1 species